AUGACGGGCGACGGCGUCUGGCAAGAGUCCCCCAGCCAGGCCGAGCUCUUCGCCGCCGAGGUCGCCGCCGUCCGCGCGGUGCUCGGCGCGGCGCUCCCGGAGGCCCGCGUCCUCGCCGCGCUCUCCCGCUGCGGCGGCAACACCGAGCGCGCCAUCAACGCGCUCCUCGACGACGGCGCCGACGCGGACGCGGACGACGCCGCCGAGCGCGCCAUCGACGCGCUCCUCGACGCCGAGAAGGUCCGCGUCAAGGCGGAGCGCGACGCUACAGCUGCCCUGACGCCGACGAUCAGGGUGAAGACCGAGGCUGUCGACGUGCCCAAGAAGGACCGGUCUGUCCGCCCCCCUCCCGCCAAACGGGCCCCUUUGCCGCCGCCGCGCCGUGUCAAGGAGGAGAAGCAGGAGGAGGAGGAGGAGGUUACCAGCGGCCGCCCCCGCCCCCGCGCCGGCGGCUGCGGCAUAAGCCUCGUGCCGCGGCCGGCGAAGAUGGACUGCGACGACGACGAGGCGGAGGGCAUCGACGCCGCGCCGAGGCCGAAGAAGAGGGUCCGGGAAGAGGAGGGCGUGGUCGACCUCACGGCGACGCACCCGCUGCCGUACCUCAACCCGCGGCCCAUCCGGGCGAUUCCGCCGGAGGAGGCCGCGCAGAUGUACGACCCGCAGCCGAUCCGGGCUGUUCCGCCGCGGGAGCCCGCCAAGAUGCACAACCCGCCGCAGCGGCAGCGGCCGCAGCCGGCAAGGGCCGCCGCGGCCCCGCCGAAGAGCGAUUGGAAGAUGGUGGUGGCGGCGCCGGAGGCGGAGCUCGGGGACUUCGCGCCGGAGCCCGACUGGUUCCUUGUCGACAAGUCCUAUGUCGCCGGGCUGUCCACGCACAGCGGGAGGCGGAUGCUGGACGCCGGCGAGAUCGUCCAUUUCGGCUUCCCGUCCUACGACCGGGUCAACUGCGGCAUCAAGAUGUCGGCCAAGAAGGCGGCGUCGCUGUUACAGAUUGUGCGCUUCUCCACCAAGCGCGCCGGAGAGAUCGGAAAGCUGUCUCCGGAGUGGACAAAGUGCCUUGUCCCGCUGGUGAACUCUUCCAAAGUUAAGAUUCAGGGGAAGAUCGUGUUUCCGACAAUGGAGCUGAGCCUGAUGCAGGACAUCUUGCUCUAUGUCAGCUUCUACAUUCACAAGUCAGUGUUCACCAAAGGCGACAACUCAUCCUUGAGCCAGCUUGCUCCUGCAAAUGUUGAUUAUUCAGACAACCCUCUCCAUGCUCUGUUCAAAUUACUCAAGCUAAGGGCAUCUAUCAAGGCUGAUUUCACUCUUGAUGAGCUCACGAGAAAGCGACCGUGGAAUCUGAGGGGUGAUGCCAAUGGAGAUGAUGAAUCAACUCCUAUUGUUGGACUUGAAACCCGUCGCACAGCUGGGCAAACUUUUCCGGAGCAAGCCGCUGAUGAGCAGGCCAUUUCAGAAGCUGCCUUGAACAAAAUUAUUGGCACAGCUGAAAUAUAUGACUUGAAGGAAGCAGAGCCACCACACACUCUUGUUUCUGUUCUCAAACCGUAUCAGAAAGAAGCUCUCUUUUGGAUGUCAGAAUUGGAGAAGGGAUGCAUCGAUGACGAUGAAUCAAAAAAUGCUAUUGAUCCCUGCUUUAGUGCCUACACUAUUGCUGACAAGAGGGCUCCUGCUGUGUACAUUAAUGUUUUCUCUGGUGAAGCGACAACCAAGUUUCCAAGUUUAAGUAAGACGACACGAGGAGGGAUACUGGCAGAUGCAAUGGGUCUUGGCAAAACUGUCAUGACUAUUGCCCUGAUACUGUCGAAUCCAAGGGGGGAGCAGUCCAACUACAUAGAAAGAGACAUAAUAAGGCCUGUAAGAGGUUGUGAUACCAGAACACGCACUUCGACCCCCAAUAUAAGAGGAGGUACCCUUAUUGUGUGUCCCAUGGCAUUAUUGGGUCAAUGGAAGGAUGAACUGGAAGCACAUUCAACACCGGGAGCAAUUUCUGUGUUUGUAUACUAUGGUGGUGAUAGAACUGGUGACCUCAAAUUGAUGGCUGAACAUACUGUUGUCUUGACGACCUAUGGUGUCCUUCAGUCAGCUCAUAAAGCAGAUGGUAGCAGUGCCUUUCACAGGAUAGAUUGGUAUAGAAUUGUGCUUGAUGAAGCACAUACAAUCAAGUCUCCCAGAACUAAAGCUGCCCAAGCAGCUUAUAUGUUAAGCUCGCAAUGCAGAUGGUGCCUAACUGGUACACCGUUGCAGAAUAAUUUGGAGGACCUUUACAGUCUUCUUUGCUUCUUACGUGUAGAGCCAUGGUGUAAUUCAAAUUGGUGGCAGAAGCUGAUUCAGAGACCUUAUGAGAAUGGUGAUGAGAGGGGAUUGAAGCUUGUCAAAGCUAUUCUUAGGCCGCUCAUGCUGAGGAGAACCAAGGAAACAAAAGACAAGAUGGGAAAGCCCAUAUUGGUCCUCCCACCAGCUAACGUUGAGGUUGUGGAAUGCGAACAGUCUAUCGAGGAACGUGAUUUCUAUGAAGCGCUUUUCAGGAGAUCGAAGGUUCAAUUCGAUAAGUUUGUGGCACAAGGCAAUGUUCUUAACAACUAUGCUAAUAUUCUUGAGCUACUUCUUCGUCUAAGGCAGUGCUGUGAUCACCCUUUCCUGGUCAUCAGCAAAGCUGAUACCAAGAAGUACACCGACCUAGACGAGCUAGCGGAACGGUUCCUUAAAGGGGCACAGAAUGAUUCUGGAUGCCGUGCCAUUGUACCCCCGCGGGCAUUUGUAGAGGAUGUCGUUGAGGAAAUCCGCCAGGGCACGGCCGCGGAGUGCCCUAUCUGCCUUGAGUCGACCUCCGAUGACCCCGUGAUCACCCCUUGCGCGCACCGCAUGUGCCGCGAGUGCCUCCUUUCCUGCUGGAGCACGCCGGCCGGGGGGGCCUGCCCUAUCUGCCGAAGCCCCAUCACCAAGGCCGAUCUGAUCAUGCUGCCCGUCCAGUGCCGCUACGAGGUCGACGCCAAGAACAACUGGAAGGAUUCAUGCAAGGUGGUGAGGCUCCUCGCGACCCUGGAGGACCUCGGGAAGAAGGGGGAGAAGAGCAUCGUGUUCAGCCAGUUCACUUCUUUCUUUGAUCUUUUGGAGAUCCCCUUGAACCAGAAGGGCAUCAAGUUCUUGAGGUUUGAUGGGAAGGUGACCCAGAAGCACAGGGAGAAGGUCCUCAAUGAGUUCAGUCAAAGCAAGGACAAACUGGUGCUGUUGAUGUCACUCAAAGCUGGAGGUGUGGGCCUGAACCUGACUGCUGCCUCCAAUGUCUUCCUCAUGGAUCCAUGGUGGAACCCUGCGGUGGAGGAGCAGGCCAUCAUGCGGAUCCACCGCAUCGGGCAGAAGAGGGCGGUCCAUGUGAGGCGGUUCAUCGUCAAGGACACGGUGGAGGAGCGGAUGCAGCAGGUGCAGGCGCGCAAGCAGCGGAUGAUCGCCGGGGCGCUGACGGACGAGGAGGUCCGCAGCUCGCGCAUCGAGGAGCUCAAGAUGCUCUUCAAAUGA
rnacentral:rRNA from 1 species